GGAUCUGGCUAAAUUCGUACUCGACGCGUAAACAAGCUAACCUUCCCGCCAUGUUUUCACGAUAAUAAAUUUGAAAAUUUAAUGGCCGACCGCAAAUUCAGGGUCGCUGUAUCGUCAAGCGCUUUCAGGAAUAAAUUCCUUUUAACGGUGCGGUAAGAUAUUCCACGUGCGAAGGACUGUAACUGAAAGAUGAACGAUAACAAUGUCUGUGAUGCAAAACGCGAUACAGUGGCAGCGAUCUGUCGCUUAUGGCUGCUUCUAUUAUUCUACGUCGUCUACUGGAAACGGACAAUCUGCACCUCGCAUAAGUUGUUCAGGGCGAGCCUAAGCCUGAAUAAGAAAUGAAAUCCCAGUCGUUAAAUUGUCAGCUUGGUAUAGAACGAAGUAGUAAUAAAACGAAUGCUAAGCUUGAGUCGUCAUUUGUUGGCAAAGAACGUC
rnacentral:misc_RNA from 1 species